rnacentral:rRNA from 1 species
AUACGGAGGGUGCAAGCGUUACUCGGAAUCACUGGGCGUAAAGCGCGCGCAGGCGACCAUUUAAGUUGGAUGUGAAAGCCUACGGCUCAACCGUAGAACUGCAUCCAAAACUAUUUGGCUCGAGUGUGGGAGAGGAAGAUGGAAUUAGUUGUGUAGGGGUAAAAUCCGUAGAGAUAACUAGGAAUACCAAAAGCGAAGGCAAUCUUCUGGAACAUUACUGACGCUGAGGCGCGAAAGCGUGGGGAGCAAACAGGAUUAGAAACCCUAGUAGUCC